CUGGCGAAUUUUCUGCUUUUCAAACACAGAAAUUUCCAAUUUUUCUAUUUACAAUGGCCUUAAAUACGCCGGCAUAGUAAUACUGACAUUCAGCCUUUUAUCUCUGACAAAUCCUUACAGUUAGUUUUUAAAACAUUGCUAUGUUGAUGCUCUUAUUUUGAAAUGCAACCGGAUGUUCUGUUAAGAAAGGCAGGAAGAGAAGUCAUGGAGAACCGCUAAUGGCGGACUAGCCUGCCGUUAUUAUAUCUAAAUAAAACACCUUGUACAAUCGGUUAGAACUGUUGGCUGGUGAAACUGAAAAAAAUAAAUUAAAAUCCGAUGACAGAGAAGUAAUCUAGCGAUAUUAAAAACAACAAAAGUAAAAUGACCGACAUUUCGUCCUGGGUCGGGUUUCCCCCUCGGGAUUUCUGCAGUGUUUAUGGGGCAAAACUUUUCCACAAGGUCGAGUUGGUUUGGAUAGCUUCUUUCACCAGUUAAAUUAUAAUUUGUUUGUAUUCGCGUUAUCUUUGUGUGACAGUAAAAUUUCUCUGUGAAAGGGAACGAAUACUUUUUACAGCAUCAUAACUCGAACAGAAACUUUUCUAACUUUUCUAAAGACUGGUAUUUGGUUUACUGGUUAUGACUUGUGAACAUGUAAGAAAACAAUGAAUUUCUAGCUAGAUGCUUGAGUGGGAGAGGUUUUAUUUUUAGGUUGUAUUGUAUGACAUUUGUACAUGUUUAAUUUCUCACCUGGAAUAAAGAGCAGCCCGUGAA